UUAAGUUAUUAAGGGCAUACGGUGGAUGCCUAGGCGCCAGAAGCCGAAGAAGGACGUGGAUGGCUGCGAAAAGCCUCGGUGAGCUGUCAUCAAGCGUGAGAGCCGGGGAUAUCCGAAUGGGGAAACCUGCCUGGGGGAAUGCCCAGGCACUGCAAUCUGAAUACAUAGGAUUGACAGAGGGCACCCGGGGAACUGAAACAUCUAAGUACCCGGAGGAAAAGAGAACAUUCCCUGAGUAGUGGCGAGCGAAAGGGGAGGAGCCUAAACCUACGUUGUGCAGAAGGCUGCAGCCGUUGCAGCGUGGGGGUUGAAGGGGCUAGGGCGUGUUUCUGCAGAGGCACGAAGGAGUAAGAAAUCUCAGGUCUAGUCGAACUGUACUGGGAAGGCAGAGCGCAGAAGGUGAGACUCCUGUAGACGAAAGGUCUGAGACUCCUGCUAGUACCCUGAGUACCACGGGACACGAGGAAUCUUGUGGGAAGCAAGGGAGACCACUCUCUAAGGCUAAAGACUUAUGGCGACCGAUAGUGAACAAGUACCGUGAGGGAAAGGUGAAAAGAACCGGGUUGACCGGAGUGAAAUAGAACCUGAAACCGUAUGCUUACAAGCAGUCGGAGGACAAUGCCCGUAAGGGAAGGUCUGACGGCGUGCCUCUUGGAGAAUGAGCCAGCGAGUUACUUUCAGUAGCGAGGUUAAGGCAGAGACAGCCGGAGCCGUAGCGAAAGCGAGUCUGAAAAGGGCGCAUAGUUGCUGGGAGUAGACCCGAAACCAGGUGAGCUACUCAUGGUCAGGGUGAAGCGGGGGUAACGCCUCGUGGAGGCCCGAACCCAUUAAUGUUGCAAAAUUAUGGGAUGAACUGUGAGUAGGGGUGAAAUGCCAAACGAACUUGGAGAUAGCUGGUUCUCCCCGAAAUAGCUUUAGGGCUAGCCUCAAGUGUUGAGUACCGGGGGUAGGGCACUGGAUUGGCUAGGGGGCGUAUAGCUUACCAAACCAAACCAAACUUCAAAUACCGGUAGUUGUAGCUUGGGAGUCGGACUACGGGAGAUGAGUUUCGUGGUCAAAAGGGAAACAGCCCAGAUCGCCAGCUAAGGUCCUGAAGUACGAGCUAAGUGGGAAAGGAUGUGGGAUUACUUGGACAGCCAGGAGGUUGGCUUAGAAGCAGCCAUCCUUGAAAGAGUGCGUAAUAGCUCACUGGUCUAGUGAUCCUGCGCCGAAAAUUUAACGGGGCUAAAGCUCGUCACCGAAGCUGCGGAUUCAUGUACCUGAGGGUAUGUGAGUGGUAGGGGAGCGUUCUGCACAGCGGAGAAGGGUGACUGAAAAGACGCCUGGAGCGUGCAGAAGAGAGAAUGCUGGCAUGAGUAGCGAGAAACACGUGAGAACCGUGUUCGCCGUAAAUCUAAGGUUUCCGACGGAAGGUCAAUCCACGUCGGGUUAGUCGGGCCUAAGGCGAGGCCGGAUGGCGUAGUCGAUGGACAACAGGUUAAUAUUCCUGUACCACGUAAUACCGAUUGAGUGAAGGGGUGACGCAGGGGGGUAGGCCAGCCAGUUAUUGGAUUCUGGUGCUAAGCCUGUAGGGCGACGAAAGGGAUAGGGAAAACCGUUCCUAGAGCCUGAGGGGUGAUGGCGGAGCCCGAGAGGGCCGGAAGUGGUUGAGCCCGCGCUGCCGAGAAAAGCCUCUAGCGAGGUAUGCGUGACCGUACCGCAAACCGACACAGGUAGAUGGGUAGAGAAUACCAAGGCGAACGGGAGAACCCUUGUUAAGGAACUAGGCAAAUUAAGUCCGUAACUUAGGGAAAAGGACUGCCACUGGUUGUGAGGGCGACUAGCUUGUCUGAGCGAUUGGUGGUCGCAGCGAAAUGGCUCUGCCGACUGUUUAACAAAAACACAGGUCUCUGCGAAAGCGAAAGCUGACGUAUAGGGGCUGACGCCUGCCCAGUGCCGGAAGGUUAAGGGGAGAUGUGAUGAGCAUUGAACCGAAGCCCCGGUGAACGGCGGCCGUAACUAUAACGGUCCUAAGGUAGCGAAAUUCCUUGUCGGGUAAGUUCCGACCCGCACGAAAGGCGUAACGAGCAGAGCACUGUCUCAACAAGGGACCCGGCGAAGUUGAAAUAGCGGUGAAGAUGCCGUUUACCCGCAGCAGGACAAAAAGACCCCGUGGAGCUUUACUGUAGCUUGACAUUGAGUUAGGGCUUUGUCUGUGUAGGAUAGGUGGGAGGCUGUGAAGCUGGUCCGCUAGGAUCGGUGGAGUCGACGUUGAAAUACCACCCUGAUGGAGUCUUGGCUCUAACCUGUGGCCCUAAUCGGGCAUGGGGACAGUGUCUGGUAGGCAGUUUGACUGGGGCGGUCGCCUCCUAAAGAGUAACGGAGGCGCCCAAAGGUUCCCUCAGGCUGAAUGGAAACCAGCCGCAGAGUGUAAAGGCAUAAGGGAGCUUGACUGCGAGACAAACAAGUCGAGCAGAGACGAAAGUCGGGCUUAGUGAUCCUACGGUUCCGAGUGGAAGGGCCGUGGCUUAACGGACAAAAGCUACCCCGGGGAUAACAGGCUGAUCUCCUCCAAGAGUUCACAUCGACGAGGAGGUUUGGCACCUCGAUGUCGGCUCGUCGCAUCCUGGGGCUGAAGUAGGUCCCAAGGGUCCGGCUGUUCGCCGGUUAAAGCGGUACGCGAGCUGGGUUCAGACCGUCGUGAGACAGGUCGGUCUCUAUCCGCUGUGGGCGAAGGGGAUUUGAGAGGGGCUGCCCCUAGUACGAGAGGACCGGGGUGGACAGACCGCUGGUGUACCAGUUGUCUCGCCAGAGGCAUGGCUGGGUAGCUAAGUCUGGCAGCGAUAACCGCUGAAAGCAUCUAAGUGGGAAACGCGCCUCAAGAUGAGAUCCCCCACUGUAAAAGGGUAAGUGCACCGGGAGACUACCGGUUAGAUAGGCGGCAGGUGUACGCACUGUGAGGUGUUGAGCCGAGCCGUACUAAUGCACGAGGACUUAAUCUA
rnacentral:rRNA from 1 species